GACAGUGAAAGAUUUCAGCAGAGCUAGGAUGUAUGCAUGCAACCAUUCAUUCCCUGUAUAUUCACUGAUCUUCUAUUACGUGCC